rnacentral:lncRNA from 1 species
GGGGAGGAAGAAGAGGUGAUGAAGAUAAAUGGACUCUACGACGGAUGUUUGUUCGAGCCCGGCUGCAGCAGCGCCCCCUUCAUGCGCCACACAGCUGGAACACAUGGGGACAGACCAUGUCCACACAGCAGGGGGCGCUGCCUUCCUCCCCUCAGUGAGUCUUCACAGCUGGUCUGGCGCCAUGAUUGGAGGAUUCUUCAUCUACAACCACAAGGGAGGCGUUGAUCUCAGGAGGGCGUGGCAUCGGGGGAAGGUGAUGGCGGCGGCUGUCCUGCAUCUGUUCGAGGAGGAAUACACAACCAGCGACACCAACAUGGCUCACAACACACCAACACCAGGCGGGCUGCAGCCGCCGAGGCCUCCAUGGUCCUCGGUCCAUGGUCCAGGUCCAGGUCCCUCUGUGACAUGUGGAAGUGCCUGCUUCACCAAGAUCAGUGAGGAGAACACUGAUACAAGCGGCUGGACAGGAAGGACCAGGUGUGAGCUCAUCCACGGCUCUCUGUCCGGAGCACGUGUCUUCCAGUACCCGCCCUCUGAACAGGAAGGUCGGCCCCGCCCCUCCUGUUGCCAUGACACUGCAGCUCUGUUGUUUUUUUAGGUUUUGAUUUUUGUAGCGUUGGAUGAGAAAAUCAAAACCUAAAGAAAAUACAGCGCCGACAGGAGCCGUCUGAGCGGGAGGCGGAGCUGUCUGAGCGGGAGGCGGGGACAUCUGAGCGGGAGGCGGAGCUGUCUGAGCGGGAGGCGGAGCUGUCUGAGCGGGAGGCGGGGACAUCUGAGCGGGAGGCGGAGCUGUCUGAGCGGGAGGCGGAGCCGUCUGAGCGGGAGGCGGGGACAUCUGAGCGGGAGGCGGAGCUGUCUGAGCGGGAGGCGGGGCUGAGAUAGAGAGAAUCUGGUCUCUGAUGGUCUGUGAACCUCCUUAUGCCACAUGCUGAGCUUAAAGAGUUCGGUCUAAAGGUCUGCUCUCAGCAACAAGCAGGAAGCCAUGAUGAGUCACAUGACCAACAUUCAGAGUGUUAGCAUUAGCAGGACUGUGCUGGAGGCUGGUUCCGAGGACAGGAUGGACAGGUCAGACCCGGUCCUACAUGCUUGGUGAGCGGGCCUGAGCAGAGCUGCAGCUGGUCUCUAAACCCUGAAUGAUGAACUAACAUGAUCAUAGGUGCACAGACCCCACCUGCUCUCAGUCCUGCUCCCAGCAGGGACCUGAUCAUUGGUGGAUCAUAACCACACACCUGGAUAUGUGGGCGGAGCUUUGUGAUGUUGCUGUCAAAUAUUUAUUAAAGAGGAUCAAUGAUUUCAUGACUUGUUCAUAUU